GAUGAACGCUGGCGGCGUGCUUAACACAUGCAAGUCGAACGGAAAGGCUCCUGCUUGCAGGGGUACUCGAGUGGCGAACGGGUGAGUAACACGUGGGUGAUCUUCCCUGCACUUCGGGAUAAGCCUGGGAAACUGGGUCUAAUACCGGAUAGGACGAUGUUUUGGAUGCCAUUGUGGAAAGUUUUUCGGUGUGGGAUGAGCUCGCGGCCUAUCAGCUUGUUGGUGGGGUAAUGGCCUACCAAGGCGUCGACGGGUAGCCGGCCUGGGAGGGUGUACGGCCACAUUGGGACUGAGAAACGGACCAGAAUCCUACGGGAGGCAGCAGUGGGGAAUAUAGAAAAAUGGGAGCAAGCCUGAUGCAGCGAAGCCGGGAGGGGGAUGACGGCCUUCGGGUUGUAAAAAACUUUCGCUAGGGACGAAGAGAAAGUGACGGUAACUGGAGAAGAAGCACCGGCUAACUACGUG
rnacentral:rRNA from 1 species